CGUAAGAUAUAGAUAUUAAACAAUUAGGUGCAAUUCGUGUGGCGUUAAUUGAUUGAAGACUUGAAACUCCACUCAUUCAACUCAAACCUUGACUCGGCCGAUUUCAACUUGGAGUUGGGCCAGGCAUUUUUGUAAUUUUACAGCCUUGAACUAACGGUGUCAAGGUCAAGCCUAUGAAAACUAACAUCAAAGACCAUAUUGGAAAACAAUACAAGUGGACGGGGGCAAAUCGAUGUAAUUAGAAGUAGAAGGGGGUAAAAUGAUUUCGUCCUAGAGUACAAGAGGAGAAAGUGGAAUUUCCCUUAAAUUAAUAGACAAAAUAUGAAAAAUAGCUCAUGAAGUUUGUGUGAUAUACAAAGUGGGUAAAAUCUGCCUAUAUAUUUGGUUGAUCUCACAUAGAAAAUUCAACAGAAAACAUGGCGACUACUCAACCUAGAAUAAUUCUCUAUGCUCUCCUUUUGAUCACCUCAUCAGUUAUACCUUAUUCCUCAAAAAUAAAUGGAGUGGAAGCCAUCGAAUUGCAACCAACAGAAACUACGAGGGCUGCCCUUGCUGUGUGCUAUUCGCCUUGUAAGACGGAUCAAGACUGCGUUGAUGCUAAUUGUGGUAGCAAAUGUUUCACCAUGAAGCGCCCUUUUAAAAUAAGUAAUUGUCUUAGUUUUUAAUGCCAUAUUUCUUCAAAUUAUAUUCAAUAAAAAUGAAAUGUGGAGUGUUCAUAAUAAUCAUAUAUAGCCAAUAGUAAUAAUUUCAUGUAAUGGCUAUAGUGAUUGUAAGACGAAAUUAAAUAAAUUCACCUUUAUUUUCAUUUA